GUUGGUUAGACAACCGCAACUUCCUCCAUGGUGUCCAGAGGGAUUAACUAGAACACAGAAAAGAAGGCUGCAGUGGGAACGACGAGAAGAGUUGAGUAGAGAAGAUAAUUUUGCUAAGUCUGGAGAUCAGUAGCAGUCGGAUCCUAAAGGGAAAGGGCCAUCGACAGAUGUUAAUAUGGUAUUUAUGUUGCCGAUGGAAUUCCUUGCACCUUUUAGUGAUGAUGAGGAAGCAGAUUUUCCCGACCAGAUAGCUUAGUUAGCUCUAGAUCCAAUGACGGCUAUCUUUGAAAAACCCGCUGAUGAUGAAAGGAAACAUCUUAAAGCUUUGUUUGUUAAAGGC
rnacentral:lncRNA from 1 species